UACAGAGGGUGCGAGCGUUAAUCGGAAUUACUGGGCGUAAAGCGUGCGUAGACGGUAGCGUAAGUCAGAUGUGAAAGCCCCCGGGCUCAACCUGGGAAUUGCAUUUGAGACUGCUCUGCUCGGGUGCGGAAGAGGGAAGCGGAAUUUCCGGUGUAGCGGUGAAAUGCGUAGAUAUCGGAAGGAACACCAGUGGCGAAAGCG
rnacentral:rRNA from 1 species